rnacentral:rRNA from 1 species
UUUCCUACGGGAGGCAGCAGUAGGGAAUCUUCCACAAUGGGCGAAAGCCUGAUGGAGCAACGCCGCGUGAGUGAAGAAGGUCUUCGGAUUGUAAAGCUCUGUUCUUGGUGAAGAUAAUGACGGUAGCCAAGGAGAAAGCUCCGGCUAACUACGUGCCAGCAGCCGCGGUAAUACGUAGGGAGCGAGCGUUGUCCGGAUUUACUGGGUGUAAAGGGUGCGCAGGCGGCUCUGCAAGUCAGGCGUGAAAGCUAGGGGCUCAACCCCUCAACUGCGCUUGAAACUGUGGAGCUUGAGUGAAGUAGAGG